UUAAAAUUAAAUAUGAAUAGUAUUUGACGAAUCUUGACUGCAUAAUGUACAAUGAAUGAACAUGAUUUAAGGAUUUCCGAAAUCCUCACAAACAGUGAUGAAGCUACGUGAGGGUUAGGAGUGGUCGUCGUCCCUCCCCUCGCCUGAAAACACACAUAGGAGCGCUGGUUCAGCCCCUUCGCUCUCAUCGAAAAUGAGAAUUCUCGUUCCGAUGAUCUGGUUUUUGCAGCAGAGUUGGGUUUUUUUAAUUUAUUUAUUUAUUUUUUACAUAUUUUGAAACCCCAAUAACACCCUUCAUCCAUCACCUUGCCGCACUCAAAUCUCACCCCAAAAUAAGAAACCAGACGUGUACCUCCAGGAAUGACACCCAAACAACCCAGAUCAUCCACACACCCAUCCAUGCCACCCCAACGACUUUCACUUUUGGAAUUUCACUGCGGAAUCCGAUCAUCUAUGCUUCUACUCGAUGUAGUGGACCAGGAUCGAGACUGCUUUCGUCAACAACUCCGCUCGUCGCUGGACCAGGACUUGCUGAGCUAUGUGAUGGUGGCUAUAGGGAUAAAGGAGCUGGGAUAAAAAAGGCUUGGGAUGAAAGGGGAGAAGUGGCUUUGGAAAUAACGAUCUUAUAAAAAGUUUUGGAAAUAAUGAUAAAAAGUUUUGGAAAUAAUGAUCUCAUAAAAAGCUUUGUUUAUGGAUAUAUUUAAUUAGAUAAACUUAAUUUUCAAUAAUUAUAAUAAUAAAAAUAAUUUAUUUAAAUAAG
rnacentral:lncRNA from 1 species